rnacentral:rRNA from 1 species
GACGAACGCUGGCGGCGUGCCUAAUACAUGCAAGUUGAGCGCUGAAGGUUGGUACUUGUACCAACUGGAUGAGCAGCGAACGGGUGAGUAACGCGUGGGGAAUCUGCCUUUGAGCGGGGGACAACAUUUGGAAACGAAUGCUAAUACCGCAUAAAAACUUUAAACACAAGUUUUAAGUUUGAAAGAUGCAAUUGCAUCACUCAAAGAUGAUCCCGCGUUGUAUUAGCUAGUUGGUGAGGUAAAGGCUCACCAAGGCGAUGAUACAUAGCCGACCUGAGAGGGUGAUCGGCCACAUUGGGACUGAGACACGGCCCAAACUCCUACGGGAGGCAGCAGUAGGGAAUCUUCGGCAAUGGACGAAAGUCUGACCGAGCAACGCCGCGUGAGUGAAGAAGGUUUUCGGAUCGUAAAACUCUGUUGGUAGAGAAGAACGUUGGUGAGAGUGGAAAGCUCAUCAAGUGACGGUAACUACCUAGAAAGGGACGGCUAACUACGUG